rnacentral:rRNA from 1 species
UACGUAGGGUGCAAGCGUUAAUCGGAAUUACUGGGCGUAAAGCGUGCGCAGGCGGUUAUGCAAGACAGAUGUGAAAUCCCCGGGCUCAACCUGGGAACUGCAUCAGUGACUGCAUAGCUAGAGUGCGGCAGAGGGGGAUGGAAUUCCGCGUGUAGCAGUGAAAUGCGUAGAUAUGCGGAGGAACACCGAUGGCGAAGGCAAUCCCCUGGGCCUGCACUGACGCUCAUGCACGAAAGCGUGGGGAGCAAACAGG